GUCUCAGUUCGGAUUGCACUCUGCAACUCGGGUGCAUGAAGGUGGAAUCGCUAGUAAUCGUGGAUCAGCAUGCCACGGUGAAUACGUUCCCGGGCCUUGUACACACCGCCCGUCACACCAUGGGAUUUGGUUUGACCUUAAGUUGGUGCGCUAACCGCAAGGAGGCAGCCAACCACGGUCGGGUUAGAGACUGGGGUGAAGUCGUAACAAGGUAGCCGUAA
rnacentral:rRNA from 1 species